UAAGGAAUAUUGCUCAAUGGGAGAAAUCCUGAAGCAGCAACGCCGCGUGGAGGAUGAAGGGUCUAUGACUUGUAAACUCCUGUAAAGAAGGAAAAAAUUCCCAUUUGAUGGGAGAUGAUGGUACUUCUGGAGUAAGCCCCGGCUAACUACGUGCCAGCAGCCGCGGUAAUACGUAGGGGGCAAGCGUUGUCAGGAUUUACUGGGUGUAAAGGGUGCUCAGGCGGAUUUGUAAGUCAGAGGUGAAAUCUUACAGCUUAACUGCGAAACUGCCUUUGAUACUGCAAGCCUAGAGUAUGGAAGAGAGAGAUGGAAUAUCUGGUGUAGCAGUGAAAUGCGUAGAUAUCAGAUAGAACACCAAUGGCGAAGGCAGUCACUUGGUCCAUUACUGACGCUAAAGCACGAAAGCGUGGGUAGCAAACA
rnacentral:rRNA from 1 species